UACGAAGGGGGCUAGCGUUGCUCGGAAUCACUGGGCGUAAAGGGUGCGUAGGCGGCCAGGCAAGUGGAAGGUGAAAUCCCUCGGCUUAACCGAGGAACUGCCCUCCAAACUGCUUGGCUUGAGACCGGGAGAGGUGAGUGGAAUUCCCAGUGUAGCGGUGAAAUGCGUAGAUAUUGGGAGGAACACCAGUGGCGAAGGCGGCUCACUGGACAGCAACUGACACUCAACUGCGAAAGCGUGGGGAGCAAACAGG
rnacentral:rRNA from 1 species